rnacentral:rRNA from 1 species
GUGGGGAAUAUUGGACAAUGGGGGGAACCCUGAUCCAGCCAUGCCGCGUGUGUGAAGAAGGCCUUUUGGUUGUAAAGCACUUUAAGCGAGGAGGAGGCUACCGAGAUUAAUACUCUUGGAUAGUGGACGUUACUCGCAGAAUAAGCACCGGCUAACUCUGUGCCAGCAGCCGCGGUAAUACAGAGGGUGCAAGCGUUAAUCGGAUUUACUGGGCGUAAAGCGCGCGUAGGUGGCCAAUUAAGUCAAAUGUGAAAUCCCCGAGCUUAACUUGGGAAUUGCAUUCGUUACUGGUUGGCUAGAGUAUGGGAGAGGAGGGUAGAAUUCCAGGUGUAGCGGUGAAAUGCGUAGAGAUCUGGAGGAAUACCGAUGGCGAAGGCAGCCAUCUGGCCUAAUACUGACGCUGAGGUACGAAAGCAUGGGGAGCAAACAGGAUUAGAAACCCGGGUAGUCC